AAUAAAAAAAAAAUUUAACUUUCGUUCUUCUGUAUGUUGAAGAUGGAGAUAAAUAUAGUGUCUGAUGCAAAAGUCGAAAUAAAAAAGUUCGAA